ACAGCUUUAAGAAUGUAUCAUUCUUAAAAGCAUUAGUUUUAACCCAUUAUCUAUGCUAUUUCUGCAUGACUUUUCUCGCUUUCCAGAAAUGUCCUAAAUUUUCCUGUACGCCCAACUCUCCAGAACGCUUUGCCAUUUCCUUUAAGGCUAUUUCCUUGCUCUUGAAAUCUUACUCUUUUUUUUUAGCUCACCAUUAUUCUGCAGUAUUAUUCCCCAUGUACAGAGGUCUAGGACCUAUCCUUAAGUGAAUGGGAAUCAGCUAUUUGGUAAUUUUUGCCAUGUCUUAAACUCAUGUGCAAAAUCAUUCUGUUAAAAUACUACUACUGUAUACUGUAUACUGUGUCCCAGUAAAAAACUACGACUCCCGUACUAAUUACUAUUCAAAAUACAGGGAUCAGUCCUGCCAAAAGCUGAACAUCUUGCAUUCCUGCUAAUGCUAAUGGGCUCUGAAUUCUUACUGAUUUGAGAGUGCUGAGAAUAAAAUUUAGGUCCAGCUACUUCCUGUAGUGCAAUAUCAAUAGCAACUGUAAUCUCUGAACUCUGUUGUUGUAACGCUUGUCAGCUCUGAGGACUCCAUGCCAUUUUAUACACUUAAAAUGCCAAAAUGUCAGUUCCUGAUGGCAUUCCGUGCCUUAUUAGGCCCUGUCAAUCAAUCACCAUGAUGCUCCAUGAGGUAUAAAGAAAUAAAAUUAUUUUUGGAACAAUAGCAGUGACAGAUUAGAGAAAUCCUUACAUAUGCUGCUUAUUUAUGCCAUCUGAGCAUGAUUCCUGUUUGCAUAUAAAACAUAAUGGAUGAGGUUAAUGAAGCAACAGAAAAGCCUACAUCAAACAUAACUUGUAUUUGCUUUAAUAGGAAAUGGAGAUCUUUGUGACUUUGACAAGGUCAGAGAAGAACGGUUAUGGAUUCUCAGUGGUUCUUAACAAAGUGGACAACUGUCUUUAUGUUGAUGAAAUCUUGCAUGAGCCUGCCCUGUCAGAUGGAAGGCUGAGAAGGGGAGACAGAAUCAUUAUGGUGAACGGAAUUGAUGUCACAUCUUUACAAUGCAAUGAAGCCCUGAGUUUACUGCAGAGCUCUCCUCCUGAUCUGCACCUUGUGGUUGGUCGUGCUGGCAGCGAUCCAUGUCCUUCUGUUAGGCCAGAUGACAUUCCUGAAAUCACUCUCACAAAAGGUGCCAAUGGACAGCUAGGUGUGUAGCAAAUACUAUGCAUACUAUUUUAGACAAAGAUUAUAGUGGUGGUAUGUUAAUAUGGCAGUUAUGGUCUUGGAUCAGUAUGAUCCUGAGUGCCUUUGAUACAGUCAUGCUCUCCUCCAUCAACAUGACCAUGGGCUGGACAACUGUCUUUUCAAUAGGACCAUAAAAGGAAUUCAAAUAAUUGUUAUCAGACAAAUCAAGCUAUUGAAAGAACUAUAUCUGUAUGAUCACACUAUCAGCUGAAGUUUCCGCUGUAUCUUCAGUCUCAUAUUUUUAUGUUAUUGAAGUAAAGAGUUGCUAGAAGCUGUCUGUUGAUAGAUGAUGAACAUCUGCUACCUACUGAUAUGCCUAAAAUUCCAUUUGGGAAAAAAGCUUAAGAAGGAUGAGCCACUAGUUAGGGCAACAGUCUGGCAUUCAAAAAAACUCUGCUUAAAUGCUCGAUUCAUCAAAGACAUGAAGUUUUACUUAUCUACAUAGUGCAAUGCAAGUGAUAAUAGAAAUCCCCACAGUGUGAAUAUCUUGUUAUUACUGGAGAAUGAGGAGCGUACUGCACACAGAUAAAUAGGGAAAUAGUAUAGUUAUCUUUACUUUGAUAUAGCAUCCUGUUUCCAGUUCAGAAGCUAGUUUGGGAACUACUGAAAUAUCAUUGCACAAUACUGCUUUGUACUGGUUAUGUAUCUCCUUAUCUGCCCUGCACUUUCAUUCCCUGCUUAAAAAAUGGGAUUGAUAGCACACCCUACAGAAGACACUGCAAAGCAGUUAGGUACUCUGGUAACAAGGGAGUAUUAUUCAACAUAUAUACAUACAUAUACACAUUUGACACUAGGUGAAACAAAGCACCAUGGAAUACUGAAGAGUACAGAUGGACAGCACAGUUUAAAUUUUUUAAUAUUUUGUAAACAUCUCAUUGCAUGCCUCUCUUGUUCUCUUACUGGGGGGGGAAACUGCUGUUUAAAGCAUUGGUGCUUUGUUCAGCCUAUCUUUCAAUGACUCUAAUAUACUGCAUCAGUAUUCACUGGCAAUUAAAUUCAAAAUAUGCUGCCACAAAAGACCUUUUAUUAUUUUCAUUAUUCUAGGCUUGAAGCUGACGGGAGGAGCAGGAAGUAAGCUACAAGGUAUUUAUGUGUUAGAGAUAGUGCCUGGCUCUCCAGCCAGUGUGGAAGGCAGUCUGCAGCCACGAGAUCAGAUUCUGUACAUUUGUGGGCUGUGGACUGAAGGCAUCAGCCUGGAUGAUGCAGUAAGAGUGUGCGAAGCUGCCACCCAGAAUGUACAAAUCAAAGCAACAAGGUAAAUCUGAGCAGACAGAAGGAAUCUUAGCAAACUCAGUUUCAGUCCCAAUGUUAAAAAAGAUUUUUAAUUUUUUUUUAUCAGCAAGUCUAAUAAUAAAACCAAAUAAGAAAAAUGCUGUAGCUCA
rnacentral:lncRNA from 1 species